rnacentral:rRNA from 1 species
GUUUGUUGGCGGGGUAACGGCCCACCAAGGCGACGAUCAGUAGGGGUUCUGAGAGGAAGGUCCCCCACAUUGGAACUGAGACACGGUCCAAACUCCUACGGGAGGCAGCAGUGAGGAAUAUUGGUCAAUGGGCGAGAGCCUGAACCAGCCAAGUAGCGUGCAGGAUGACGGCCCUAUGGGUUGUAAACUGCUUUUAUAAGGGAAUAAAGUGAGUCUCGUGAGACUUUUUGCAUGUACCUUAUGAAUAAGGACCGGCUAAUUCCGUGCCAGCAGCCGCGGUAAUACGGAAGGUCCGGGCGUUAUCCGGAUUUAUUGGGUUUAAAGGGAGCGUAGGCCGGAGAUUAAGCGUGUUGUGAAAUGUAGACGCUCAACGUCUGCACUGCAGCGCGAACUGGUUUCCUUGAGUACGCACAAAGUGGGCGGAAUUCGUGGUGUAGCGGUGAAAUGCUUAGAUAUCACGAAGAACUCCGAUUGCGAAGGCAGCUCACUGGAGCGCAACUGACGCUGAAGCUCGAAAGUGCGGGUAUCGAACAGGAUUAGAUACCCUGGUAGUCCGCACGGUAAACGAUGGAUGCCCGCUGUUGGUCUGAAUAGGUCAGCGGCCAAGCGAAAGCAUUAAGCAUCCCACCUGGGGAGUA